CAAGACUUCAAACAUUACAAUCCAAAAAGGAGAGUUUAGUGAAAGAUUUAACGAUGAAUCGAUAAAAUUUUUGAGUCAAACAUCAUUUUUUACCCCAAAGGGAAUGGCGGAAAAGGCAAUUGUUAAAGAUGAUAUCAAGGAUAUCUGUGAAUUUUAUCAAUUAAAUACAAGUCAAGUUUUUGAGGAAAUGUUGAUGUUUAGAAAUAUUUAUAAAAUGGCUAAAACGGGGGACGUAAUUAUUACUCGUGACCUAGAGGUUAAAGAAGAUUUGUCAGAUUCUGAGAAUUCUUCUUCUGAUGAUGAUAAUAAUUUUGAGAUGAAUGAUUAAGACUGGAGAAACUAUUCAUUUAUUUUACCUUAUCGUCUGCUUAUAAAUUUUUCUGCUUUCCCAAAUUUAACAAUUUUAUAUAAAUAUUUAUUAACUAUUCUUACUACAUCAUGUACUGCCGAAAGGGUCAUGAGUAAAAUUAAACUAAUUAAAACAAGACUUCGUAGUGUCAUGAAAGAUCCAUUUCUUAAUAAUUUAACCAUUUUAUCAAUGGAAAAUAAUUUAUUUAAACAAUUAAAUAUUGAUGAAAUUAUAAAUUCUUUUGCUUUCUCUUCCCCUAAUUUAUCUAAAUUAUUAAUUUAAAAAUAAUAUUUUUAAAGCAUA